GAUCGUAGAUUUUAAAAAUUAAUUUAACUUUUCAUACAUAACUUUUCACAUAAAUUAUUUUUUCACAUAUCUUCUUCAUCUUUGCAGCGUCAACAGGUGUACGAGGAAUGAGUCGCAGCACAUUAGGGUCACAAUCUUUGUAUGUAACACCAAUAAGUAUGGCUUUCUUUGUAAAGCCUGAACCUCGAGUCAUUCUCGACUGACGAACCAAUGUUGAAUCUCAGAAUUUGGAGCAGCUCAUUUCUGAUUUCUGUUCUUUUUUCUUUGCCGCUUUAUAAAAGAGAAGACGAUCGAAAAGAGAAAAAGGGAAGGGUUAUAUGUUAUCUAGAGUUUCUUCUAGAGGAGAAACUUGACAUUGCAUUCAUAAUUCAACCUUAAAUUUUGUACUUGUGGAAACGUGAUCAGUUUCUUGCAUGGAUGUCUUCUAUUAGAAGAAUUGAUUGCCAUCUCAUUAAGGA
rnacentral:lncRNA from 1 species